GCCACGGCUCACGGGGUCCCCGCGCCGGGUACCGGGACAGGGGGAGGCGCGGCCGGGCGGUGAGAAGUGCCCUCUUCUUUUCCGAGCUGGGUCGGCUGGUCCGCUCACCUUGUGGCUCUGCUGAGGGAUAAAGAAUUAGGCCAAGACUGGAAAGAGAGCGCGUCUGUGAAGAUGGAGCACCUUCCAUGAAAGGAGUUUGCACUGCUCUAAUGGUGGCCAUGAGAAAACAAGGAAAGAUGGAGAAGCUUUGUUUGCCAGGGGGAGCCUGGGCUGAUUAAGGACAAUCUGAAGAGAAGGUUUUCAGAAUGGAGAGCCCUCCCUGUCCAGGAAAUGUCAGCGCUGGACAUAGACAAUCACCGCGUGGUAACAUAGGGUAACUCCAUGUGGUCACAGGUGCACAGAGGAGCAAGCAGUACCUCUCAUUUUGGAUGUUCCACAAGCCUGUUCUAUUCAACAGAUCUAAAACUCAACUGAUUACUUCCUGAACCUCCUCCUGUGUUUGUGAUCUUAAUAAAAACUCCUCCUUCCAUCCUGGCAGGAAAACAGAGAAACCUGGAGUUCCCUCUUGACUCUUUUAUGUCCCUUGUGGCUCUGUCCUGUAGAAAUUAAGCACCAAUUAAAGUUUAACUUAAUCUCUCUCAAA